rnacentral:rRNA from 1 species
GAACGCGAAAGGGGACUUCGGUCCCUGAGUAAAGUGGCGCACGGGUGAGUAACACGUGGAUAAUCUGCCCGGUGACCCGGAAUAACAUCCCGAAAGGGGUGCUAAUACCGGAUAAGCUCACGAGAUCUUCGGAUCUUGCGGGAAAAGGUGGGGACCUUCGGGCCUACCGUCACCGGAUGAGUCCGCGGCCCAUUAGCUAGUUGGUGGGGUAAUGGCCUACCAAGGCUUCGAUGGGUAGCUGGUCUGAGAGGAUGAUCAGCCACACUGGAACUGAGAUACGGUCCAGACUCCUACGGGAGGCAGCAGUGGGGAAUUUUGCGCAAUGGGCGAAAGCCUGACGCAGCAACGCCGCGUGAGGGAUGAAGGCCUUCGGGUCGUAAACCUCUGUCAGAGGGGAAGAACCGUCGGUGGGAUAAUACCCCAUCGGCCUGACGGUACCCUCAGAGGAAGCACCGGCUAACUCCGUGCCAGCAGCCGCGGUAAUACGGAGGGUGCAAGCGUUGUUCGGAAUUAUUGGGCGUAAAGCGCGUGUAGGCGGCCACUUAAGUCUGGUGUGAAAGCCCUGGGCUCAACCCGGGAAGUGCAUCGGAUACUG